UGCAAGUCGAACGGNACCCCUCUCCGGAGGGAAGCGAGUGGCGAACGGCUGAGUAACACGUGGAGAACCUGCCCCUCCCCCGGGAUAGCCGCCCGAAAGGACGGGUAAUACCGGAUACCCCCGGGCGCCGCAUGGCGCCCGGGCUAAAGCCCCGACGGAGGGGAUGGCUCCGCGGCCCAUCAGGUAGACGGCGGGGUGACGGCCCACCGUGCCGACAACGGGUAGCCGGGUUGAGAGACCGACCGGCCAGAUUGGGUCUGAGACACGGCCCAGACUCCUACGGGAGGCAGCAUG
rnacentral:rRNA from 1 species